UCACUGGCAAAAUCCAGUGACGGGAUUGGUCCCCCGCUUUAGAGUUAAAUCUCUUGCAUCGGUGUGUAUACGCCAGCUCUUGCUGGUUUUUU
rnacentral:sRNA from 1 species